GAACACAGAAGUUAGACGCUGAGGAACAAAACAACAGCGUGGGAAUAAGCACGAGAAAAGGGCAGCAUCGGAUGGUGGUCUGCAGCAGGUUGACUUUGGAGACCAAGAAGAGGAAGCGAGUGAAGGCAGAGCCGACACUUAAAUGGUGGAAGUUGAAGAAGGAAGACUGUUGUGUGGAGUUCAGGGAGGAGGUAUCCGCCAGGUGCUCCUCGUCACCUAAUCAACUGGUCAACAAAUCAUCCAAUUUCCAUCAGCUG